UAAAAUAAAAAGGUUAAUUUAUUUUCAGUCAAUUAGGUAUGAAAAAUAUUUAAAAAUAAAAUGUUUUGCAUUAGACUUUAAAAAGCUACCUAGCUAUAAUGAAAAACUUUCAUAUGUUUGCAUCAUUUGUCGGAAAAUUUGUGUUCAGAUAAAUAAGUUACUUCAAUCUUCAGAAAAGGCGAUGAAGUUAUACAAACAAUACUGCCAUUCUAACCCCUAACUACAUAUAAGGGACAUUGGUGGACUUCUUUGACCGAAAAAAGCUUUGGAUUUGACCAGCGUGAAGCAAAAUUAGCAGGCCCAGCUUG